UGAAAUAUAUUUCAUCACCAGUACUAGAAACCUGAAAUCUAGCAAUAUUCGAAUGGUUGGAAGGUCAGGAUUAAAGAGAUCCGGUGAAAUAUAUUUCAUCACCAGUACUAGAAACCUGAAAUCUAGCAAUAUUCGAAUGGUUGGAAGGUCAGGAUUAAAGAGAUCCGGUGAAAUAUAUUUCAUCACCAGUACUAGAAACCUGAAAUCUAGCAAUAUUCGAAUGGUUGGAAGGUCAGGAUUAAAGAGAUCCGGUGAAAUAUAUUUCAUCACCAGUACUAGAAACAUGGUAAAAUCUUCAAGUGAAGCUAAAGUUAAUCAUGAGUCUUGAUUUAAGUUACUCAAAAGAAAGUCACGUGGUUUUUAAAAGCAAAAAAAC